UACGAAGGGGGCUAGCGUUGCUCGGAUUGACUGGGCGUAAAGGGCGCGUAGGCGGUUCGUACAGUCAGACGUGAAAUUCCUGGGCUCAACCUGGGGGCUGCGUUUGAUACGUGCGGACUUGAGUGCGGAAGAGGGUCGUGGAAUUCCCAGUGUAGAGGUGAAAUUCGUAGAUAUUGGGAAGAACACCGGUGGCGAAGGCGGCGACCUGGUCCGAUACUGACGCUGAGGCUGCGAAAGCGUGGGGAGCAAACAGGAUUAGAACC
rnacentral:rRNA from 1 species